rnacentral:rRNA from 1 species
AUGGCUCAGGAUGAACGCUAGCGGCAGGCUUAACACAUGCAAGUCGAGGGGCAUCGGGAGUAGCAAUACUUGCCGGCGACCGGCGCAAGGGUGCGUAACGCGUGAGCAACAUGCCCGUAUCAGGGGGGAUAAUCCAUGGAAACGUGGUCUAAUACCCCAUAGUAAUUAUGUAAGGCAUCUUAUAUAAUUUAAAGCUUUGGUGGAUACGGAUUGGCUCGCGUGACAUUAGCUGGAUGGUAAGGUAACGGCUUACCAUGGCUACGAUGUCUAGGGGUUCUGAGAGGAAGGUCCCCCCACACUGGAACUGAGACACGGUCCAGACUCCUACGGGAGGCAGCAGUGAGGAAUAUUGGACAAUGGAUGGAAAUCUGAUCCAGCCAUGCCGCGUGCAAGGAAGACGGCCCUAUGGGUUGUAAACUGCUUUUGUAUGGGAGCAAUAAGGGCUACGUGUAGUCCGAUGAGAGUACCAUACGAAUAAGCACCGGCUAACUCCGUGCCAGCAGCUGC